rnacentral:tRNA from 1 species
UCCCUGGUAGCUCAGCUGGUAAAGAAUCUGCCUGCAAUGCAGGAGAUCCUGGUACAAUUCCUGGAUUGGGAA